GAUGAACGCUGGCGGCGUGCUUAACNCAUGCAAGUCGAACGAAGCGACUAUGAUUGAGAUUCGGUUGAUUGAUUAGUUGACUGAGUGCGGACGGGUGAGUAACGCGUGGGUAACCUGCCUCAUACAGGGGGAUAACAGUUAGAAAUGGCUGCUAAUACCGCAUAAGCGCACAGUACCGCAUGGUACCGUGUGAAAAACUCCGGUGGUAUGAGAUGGACCCGCGUCUGAUUAGCUAGUUGGUAAGGUAACGGGCUUACCAAGGCGACGAUAGGUAGCCGGUCUGAGAGGAUGAACGGCCACAUUGGGACUGAGACACGGCCCAAACUCCUACGGGAGGCAGCAGUGGGGAAUAUUCCGCAAUGGACGAAAGUCUGACGGAGCAACGCCGCGUGAGUGAAGAAGGUUUUCGGAUCGUAAAACUCUGUCAAGAAGGAAGAAAAAGGACGGUACUUCUGAAGGAAGCCCCGGCUAACUACGUG
rnacentral:rRNA from 1 species